rnacentral:rRNA from 1 species
CCAGACUCCUACGGGAGGCAGCAGUGGGGAAUAUUGCACAAUGGGGGAAACCCUGAUGCAGCAACGCCGCGUGAGUGAGGAAGUAUUUCGGUAUGUAAAGCUCUAUCAGCAGGGAAUAGAAAAGAAGGUACCUGAAAAAGAAGCCCCGGCUAACUACGUGCCAGCAGCCGCGGUAAUACGUAGGGGGCAAGCGUUAUCCGGAUUUACUGGGUGUAAAGGGAGCGUAGACGGAAAGGCAAGUCAGAAGUGAAAGCCCAAGGCUCAACCAUGGGACUGCUUUUGAGACUGUCAAACUAGAGUACGGGAGAGGUAAGAGGAAUUCCUAGUGUAGCGGUGAAAUGCGUAGAUAUUAGGAGGAACACCAGUGGCGAAGGCGGCUUACUGGACAGUGACUGACGUUGAGGCUCGAAAGCGUGGGGAGCGAACAGGAUUAGAUACCCCUGUACGA